GCUAACACAUGCAAGUCGAACGGGGAUUUUGUUUCGGCAGAAUCCUAGUGGCGAACGGGUGAGUAACGCGUAGGCAACCUGCCCUCCGGCCGGGGACAACACUCCGAAAGGGGUGCUAAUACCGGAUACGAAGUCUGUGCCGCAUGGUACGGAUUUGAAAGAUGGCCUCUGUUUACAAGCUAUCGCCGGGGGAUGGGCCUGCGUCCGAUUAGCUGGUUGGUGGGGUAACGGCCUACCAAGGCGACGAUCGGUAGCCGGUCUGAGAGGAUGAACGGCCACAUUGGGACUGAGACACGGCCCAGACUCCUACGGGAGGCAGCAGUGGGGAAUCUUCCGCAAUGGGCGCAAGCCUGACGGAGCAACGCCGCGUGAGUGAGGAAGUUCUUCGGAACGUAAAGCUCUGUUGUUCCUGACGAACCUCCCUUCUAUCAACAACGGAGGGGACUGACGGUAGGGAACGAGGAAGCCACGGCUAACUACGUGCCAGCAGCCGCGGUAAUACGUAGGUGGCAAGCGUUGUCCGGAAUUAUUGGGCGUAAAGCGCAUGUAGGCGGUAAUUUAAGUCUGUCGUGAAACUGCGGGGCUCAGCCCCGUAUGGCGAUGGAAACUGGGUUACUUGAGUGCAGGAGAGGAAAGGGGAACUCCCAGUGUAGCGGCGAAAUGCGUAGAUAUUGGGAAGAACACCGGUGGCGAAGGCGCCUUUCUGGACUGUGUCUGACGCUGAGAUGCGAAAGCCAGGGUAGCGAACGGGAUUAGAUACCCCGGUAGUCCUGGCCGUAAACGAUGGGUACUAGGUGUGGGAGGUAUCGACCCCUUCCGUGCCGGAGUUAACGCAAUAAGUACCCCGCCUGGGGAGUACGGCCGCAAGGCUUAAACUCAAAGGAAUUGACGGGGGCCCGCACAAGCGGUGGAGUAUGUGGUUUAAUUCGACGCAACGCGAGAACCUUACCAGGGCUUGACAUCGACUGAAAGAUGCAGAGAUGUAUCCCUCUCUCGAGACAGGAAGACAGGUGUUGCAUGCUGUCGUCAGCUCGUGUCGUGGGAUGUUGGGUUUAGUCCCGCAACGAGCGCAACCCUAUCCUAUGUUACCAUCAUUAAGUUGGACCUCAUAGGAUACUGCCAGGGACAACCUGGAGGAAGCGGGAUGACGUCAGUCAUCUUGCCCUUAUGUCUGGGCUACAACGUUACUACAUUGUCGGAAACGAGGUAAUCGAAUCCCUGUGCUGUACGUAAUCCAUACCGGUCCAUUCGAUCGACGGUCACACGCGUGCUGAAUGCGAAUGCCGUC
rnacentral:rRNA from 1 species